rnacentral:antisense_RNA from 1 species
AGAGAUGGGUUUUCACCGUAUUGCCCAGGCUGUUCUUGAACUCCUGAGUUCAACAGAUCCAUCCACCUUGGCCUCCCAAAGUGCUGGGAUUACAGGAGAAGGAUGACAUAAAAAUCUUCAGGAUGAAUGCUCUAACAGAAAGGUGGGCACGUGCCUAAAUGACUCACACAAAGAAAGCUGUGAGGAGCCUUGAGCAUUUGAGAUGGAGUGAGGCCGUGUGGAAGGGGCUGUGGAAGGUUCCAUCUAACAACUUGCUAGGCAGGUUGGGGCAGGGGGAAGUGCUCCGUGAGGGGGGCCUGGGAGAGAAUCAGGAGAACAGGGUACAACAGCUGGUGAGUUUUCCUUCUGAUAUAGACAAUGCCUGGAGAGCAAACUGUUACAGCUAAGAGAGAUCUUUAAGUGAAAGAAAAGGAGAAGGCUCCAUCUCAGCUUAUUAGGAACAGAUGAUAAUGCAUUGCCAGGCCUUCAGUACAAAAGGUAUUAGACUCAAGAUUCUACAAGAUUCUGUUUGCGCCAGACACUGAUUAGCAGUGCAAAUAUAAAAUGAAUACAAAUAGAUCACGCAUCAGAAUGCCAAUCACUUCCUAGAAACACUGAUCAAAAUUUGCAUUAAAUCAACAGAUCUUUCUUUUAAGAUGGGUGUGGCAACAGUAAAGCUUUCUACGUGUUAAACAGAAUGAACAAAACCAACACAGAGCAGUAACUUCCUGCCAGAGAGAGCAGAA